UACAUUUUUCCGUUUGCUUCCGGGCGCGCUUCGCUAUUUCAAAACUCAUAACGUUUUCUUUUUUUCAUGGAAAAGUUUCAUUCUAAAGCUCUCUGUGUCAUGUGUGCAAUCGUUACGGAAGAGUGUAAUUUAUUAUAGUCAUAUAACGAUCGCAUAACGAUCGGUUCUUCUAUGUUGAUGGCAAGUAAGAAGUUACGAAGGACGGGCGUCUCAGCAGAGCUCUGCGAGCGACUCAAGCGCCAUCAACUGGAAACCUGUCAGGAUGUCCUGUCCAUAACACCCGUGGAGCUCAUGCGGCUGGCUGGACUCAGUUACCCCGCGGCUCUGGAGCUCCUGCAGCUGCUCAGUAGAGCCUGUGCCCCGGCUGUGAGCCGCGCAUGGGAUUUGUGGAGGAAGAAGGGAGAGCUGUGUUUCUCCACAUCACUUCCUGCCCUGGACACAUUACUGCGUGGAGGACUGCCGAGGGGUGCUCUCACUGAGGUGACCGGCCCGUCAGGCUGUGGAAAGACUCAGCUGUGUAUGAUGCUCAGUGUUUUGGCUACGCUGCCGAGGACUAUGGGAGGUCUGGACAGCGGGGUCAUCUUCAUCGACACAGAGUCGGCGUUCUCUGCUGAAAGAUUGGUGGAAAUGGCACAGGCCAGAUUCCCAGAGUUCUUUUCGGUGAAGGAGCGUCUGCUGGAGAUGGCGUCUCGUGUUCAUCUCUUCAGGGAACUCACCUGCCAGGACGUCCUGAAUAGGCUGGAGCGUCUGGAGGAAGACAUAAUUGCGUGUCGAGCCGGGCUUCUUAUUUUGGAUUCCGUGGCUUCUGUUGUGAGGAAGGAGUUUGACACGUCGCUGCCGGGAAAUCUAACGUUCAGGAGUAACCUACUGGGCCAGGAAGCCGCUGUACUGAAGUACCUCUCGCAGGCCUUCUGCAUCCCAGUGGUUUUAACUAACCAGAUCACCACACGUGUGGGCGAGAAGGUUCACUGUCCUCAGUGGAAUCAGGCAGAUGUAUCUAAGGAGGAGGACUCAGGUUUUGUGACAGCGGCGCUUGGAAACACAUGGAGUCACAGUGUUAACACACGCCUCAUCGUCCAGUACGAGGACACAGAACGGAGACAGAUUGUCAUAGCCAAAUCACCUGUGGCCCCUUUUGCCGUGCUGAGCUACACUGUUCAGAAGGAGGGCAUCCGUCUUGAGGCCUUGGCUCACAAAGGACAAAACGAGGCCCUUAUUAAGCUGCCCCUUCGCCAGGCCACAUGGAGGAUUUGCGAGUUCAGUGGGAUCUGCAGGAACAACAAGGGAACAACGAAACUCUUCAUUCUGUCAGGAAAGCAUGGCAGAGGAUCCUGGACCUACGGGAAUGAAAACCCAGAAAGUGUUUUAAACCAAGGAACAGAUCCAGGGCUUCAGCCAAUCAGAGUGAGGUCGGGGUUCAUCUGCAACCUUUCCCAGGCCACACCUUCUACUUGUUAAGAACUUCCUUUGGCCCCAGAAUGCAGUGGCCGUUAUUGCCCUAUUUAAAGGUGCAAGCUAUGGUUAACCAUUGCAGGAACAUGUGGAGGACAGACACAAAGCAGACGGAUUGGACUUUGUAGAACAUUACCUCCGUUCUCAUCCAGUUAGAAAACUGCAGCAUCAGUCAGCUAUUGAUUGACAGCUGUAUUUUUCCUCUCCCUGCUCCUGUGAUAAGACGGCAGUCUUGGACAAACGCUACUUGACCCUGGCUGGCCGUUGCCAUGGAUUCUGUUCCCAUGACUCCUGUUCCCAUGGUUCCUUCAGCCUUAGAGGGAAGUUUGUCUGAUUAGAUGAACAAUGGUGUUAUUUUGGGUGGUUCCCCCUUUUUCGCCUUGUUUUGCGUUUCGUUGUAUAUGUGCACAGAUACGCAUUGGCACAUUCUUUGUAUUUAUUUUUAUGACUUGUUUCUUCCUAAUAGGCUUUUAUAUAGAGUUCUAACAUUAAUAAAUGCAAACUCAAGUCUUCCAAACUCUUAAUUAUUGUGAUUUCAUUAGUAGAAUCUGCUCACAGUGCAGACGUCAGGGACAUCUUUAGCCCUCGGCCAGCAGAUAAAGUCAGUUGUGACAGCCGAACACGCAAUGCUGAGUAGGUGUUCUUUCUGUCUAUCUUUCUCUUUCAUCCUCUUUCUGUAUAUCUCUCCUCCCUUCCCCCCAUAAGCGGGCUGAUAGGCUGAGAGUUGACAUGUUUUUACAGAUCUUUUAAUGGUUGACCUGUGGCGAUAUCACUGCCUGUGCCUGUAGUGGAGGGAGGAAAACUCUCCUUCCUCGCCUGUAAACCGGAAGGCAAAAAUCAGAGCAGAGAGUCAUGAGAUCCUGACGUGGGUGCAAAACGUCCACAGCGAUCAGUUCUCAUCCAAACCCAUCCAAACCAGCCACACAAAAAGAUCAUGCUCAUGGGCUUGAUGUCAAAUAUCAGUACAUUUCAACUAGCCUUGAUUCUUUUCUCUUUUUUUUUUUAGCAGUGUUUGUUUUUGAAUUGAUAAAAUUGGAUGCUUGUGAUCUCAAGUCAGUUCUGUUUGGAACCUUUUGUUUUGUUCUGCUUUCUUAGGCUUAUUUAGUUCUUGCACUGGCUUGAGGUUAAACCGACAACCACACGUUCCCUUAUCUAGAAACUCCCCGAAAUGCCCCUUUUAGUGCAAAUCGUUUCAAUCUUCUGAUACUGUGAACUCGAGAGCAGAGCUCUUUUUUGAUUAUUCAUUGCACUCUGAAACACUGAAGAAAAAAAAGCUGAUGGAGUUAUUACAAAGUCUAUGCGGGUAUUGCUCAACUGCGACUUUGGCCUUAUUCCUCAUGUCUGUUCUUAAAGGCAUAGUGACCCACAGCCCUGGUGCAAAUGGACACGCACUGUCAAGUGUGUGUUCCUGAAAGAAUAACUAACAAUUAUAUAGCACUUUUCCCAAAAAUGACAAGCACUGGAUGGCUGUUAUGCUUUGCUACAUAAUGUUUUAAAGGGUUGCCUCAUAUAAAAAAUUAUAUUAUGUCAUUAACUUCCUCAUGAAAAAGACCCAAUGACAAUU